rnacentral:rRNA from 1 species
UACGGGGGGGGCAAGCGUUGUUCGGAAUUACUGGGCGUAAAGGGCUCGUAGGCGGCCCACUAAGUCCGACGUGAAAUCCCCAGGCUUAACUUGGGAACUGCGUCGGAUACUGGUGGGCUUGAAUCCGGGAGAGGGAUGCGGAAUUCCAGGUGUAGCGGUGAAAUGCGUAGAUAUCGGAAGGAACACCAGUGGCGAAAGCGGCUUCCUGGUCCGACACAGACGUUCAGGCACGAAAGCGUGGGGAGCAAACAGG